UACGUAGGGGGCAAGCGUUGUCCGGAUUUAUUGGGCGUAAAGAGCGUGUAGGCGGUCUGGUAGGUCCGUUGUGAAAACUCGAGGCUCAACCUCGAGACGCCGAUGGAAACCCUCAGACUAGAGUACGGAAGAGGCGAGUGGAAUUCCUGGUGUAGCGGUGAAAUGCGUAGAUAUCAGGAGGAACACCGGUGGUGUAGACGGCUUUCUGGACCGUAACUGACGCUGAGACACGAAAGCGUGGGUAGCAAACAGG
rnacentral:rRNA from 1 species